CACUCCAUUUCUUUCUCCACCCGACGUUUUGGGCCUUCGUCAUGAAUGUCCUCCGAGUACAAAAUACUUCGGGGCAUUCCCCGGUGAAGAAGUACAUAAGAACACGGGGCAUUCCUCGAUAAAAUGAAUACAUUUUUCUCCAAUCAAGCACUAAACUCAAACCAUUCAACACAAAUUUCACAUUCAAACAUUCAACAAGGAAAUACUUAUUCCUAAAUUUUGCCUACCUCUAUCAUUUGCCUAACGACUCACGGCCUAGAACAUGAUACUAUCGAACUUAACAAAGUCGAUGUUUAUUCCGAAUAAAGCAAUCGUCACUAACCAACAUAAAUCAAUAUUCACUUUUAACAAUUCUCGAUCUUUUUUCCCAAAAUCCAACUUAACCCCGAAUCAACUACUGGUUAACACACUUCAUAACAGGAUUAACAAUUAAAUAAUAAUAAAUAAAAUUACCUCAACCAAAUUCAACAAAAAAUCACACCAUUCAAAAAUAUGCACGAAAAGAGAGAUAAGAGAUAUAGAAUUGAACCUCAAACGUUCAUUUUAUUCUGAAAUCAGUGAUGGAUUGGAAUUUACGGGC
rnacentral:lncRNA from 1 species